CUCCUAGUAGCUUAGUGGUAGGAGCGUCCGACCGGUGUGCGGAAGGUCAUAGGUUUUUCGUCUCCCUGUUUGGGAGA